rnacentral:lncRNA from 1 species
AAUCAAUCUCCUAUUUUCAGGGCUAACCAUUUGCCCUAAUGAAAAUAAUAAUAUUCUAAAAAUACCCUCAUUUGAAUUAAUGCAUAUAAAUGUAAAAAUAAAUAAAUAAACUCAUCACUGUCAGUGCUCCCCCGUCAUGUGGUCAUCGUUUGUGGAGCAAUAGCUAGUCACCGAUCAGUUGUGUCAUAGGCAGUAAUGGUCACGGGUAGUAGCCAUUGCAUCGUGAAGUCAAACCACCACCACCAACAACCGUCGCAUUCCGACUGAUGAUGAUGAUGCUGACAAUGAUGUUGUUGUUCUUGAUGAUGAUUAUCAUUAUAAAUGAUAAAAAAAAACAUAAUAAUUAAUUAAUAUUAAAGUUAACAAUAAAAUUGUUAUUAACAAUAAUUAUCAAUAACAUUAUUAUUUAAAUAAUAAUAAUAAUAACAAGAAUUAAAAUACAAAAUAACAAUUAUGACAAUAAUUAAUUAACGAUUUUUUUAAUAAUCUGUAAUAAUCUAACUCAUUCUAAUUUCUACAACUUAAAUAAUUUAUUCUAAUUUCCAUUGACAUUCAGAUUCAAGUUCGUUCCAAUUCCAACCAUACCAUUAAGAUAGAAUCGAAAUGGUCAUAUUUAUUUUUUAAAUAUUUUUAAGAAAUUUAAUUUCAUUAAUAUCCACAAAAGACUCGAAUCCUUUUCCCUUUGUAUAGACUACAGUGUUCUCUAUGAAACACUAUUUUAAAAUAAAUAAUUCCGGUUGAUAUGAUUUAUGUUGGAGUAAUAUUAUCAAAUAAAAUAAAAUAAAAAAUAAAAAUAAAGAAAGAAAGAAGUAGAGAUAAGCAUGAAGCCACGAACCUUAUACUAAGAGAAAGAAAUUAAUAUUGUUGAUUUCAUGAGAGAAUCAACCCAUCCUCAUCCAUUUCAUCCCGUCAGCAAUUAAAAUAUCUAUG